rnacentral:rRNA from 1 species
GGAUUAGGCAUGCAAGUCGAACGAGGAUGUAUCCUUCGGGAUAUAAGCCGAGUGGCGCAAGGGUGAGUAAUGCAUAGAUUACCUACCUCUAGGAUAAGGACAACUUUGCGAAAGUGGAGCUAAUACUUAAUAAUACAAAAGUGAAUAAUUCUUUUUUGUCAAAGGGAGGGUAGCAAUACCUUUUGCCUAGAGAGGGGUUUAUGUCCUAUCAGCUUGUUGGUGGGGUAAAGGCCUACCAAGGCAAAGACGGGUAGCCGGCCUUAGUGGGUGGUCGGCCACACUGGGACUGAGACACUGCCCAGACUUCUACGGAGGCUGCAGUCGAGAAUCAUUCGCAAUGCCCGAAAGG